UCAGAGGUCCUCACUGUGCCUCAGUCUCCCCACCUGGGAGCAGGAAAUAAUCACUCCAGGACUGUCUAGGGGAUGAUUAAAAUGAGGGGGAAAGAAUUUUGCUAUAGUAAAACAGAUCAGUCGGGAGGCACCAUUUCACAGUGAUGAUCAUCCAGAGAGAAGACAAAAACAGAAGCCACCAGAGGCUAAGGCCUGUUUAGCAACAGCUCUGCCUGGAUAAAGGAGACACAAAACUUCCACUGACUACCCAAUGAAAGACAAGUAGCCUCUAGCAAUUAAGACAUUCCCAAGUCUCGUCUUCAACGUUGCAGAUCUGAAGCUUCUGAAUGGAGAUAAAUAACCAGGAGCCAGAGAAGGUCUCCUAAAGAGGAAGAAUUUAAGAGGCUUCUGCAAGGUGAACUACAAGGACUUGUUGGAAUUGAAUAAAAAAAUAGUUGAGCCUGCUUAAGGAACGAUCGAGCACUAUACAAAUUAAGCUCUUUUGGCUUGAGCUGUAAUUAUUAAAGCUUCAAUGUCCC